rnacentral:rRNA from 1 species
CCUACGGGAGGCAGCAGUGAGGAAUAUUGGUCAAUGGACGAGAGUCUGAACCAGCCAAGUAGCGUGAAGGAUGACUGCCCUAUGGGUUGUAAACUUCUUUUAUAAAGGAAUAAAACGAGGCACGUGUGCCUUUUUGCAUGUACUUUAUGAAUAAGGAUCGGCUAACUCCGUGCCAGCAGCCGCGGUAAUACGGAGGAUCCGAGCGUUAUCCGGAUUUAGUGGGUUUAAAGGGAGCGUAGAUGGGUUGUUAAGUCAGUUGUGAAAGUUUGCGGCUCAACCGUAAAAUUGCAAUUGAUACUGGCAGUCUUGAGUACAGUUGAGGUAGGCGGAAUUCGUGGUGUAGCGGUGAAAUGCUUAGAUCUCACGAAGAACCCCGAUUGCGAAGGCAGCUUACUAAACUGUGACUGACAUUGAUGCUCGAAAGUGUGGGUAUCAAACAGGAUUAGAUACCCUUGUAGUC